AAAGCUUUAAGUUAAUUAAACUAUUAACCUUCAAAGUUAGAAAUAUAACAAUCAUUGUAUAAGCUUUA
rnacentral:tRNA from 1 species